rnacentral:rRNA from 1 species
AUUGAACGCUGGCGGCAGGCCUAACACAUGCAAGUCGAACGAGUGGCGGACGGGUGAGUAAUGUCUGGGAAACUGCCUGAUAGAGGGGGCUAACUACUGGAAACGGUGGCUAAUACCGCAUAACAUCAGAUGUGCCCAGAGGGGAUUAGCGAGUUGGUGGGGUAAAGGCUCACCAAGGCGACGAUCCCUAGCUGGUCUGAGAGGAUGACCAGCCACACGUGAACUGAGACACGGUCCAGACUCCUACGGGAGGCAGCAGUGGGGAAUAUUGCACAAUGGGCGCAAGCCUGAUGCAGCCAUGCCGCGUGUAUGAAGAAGGCCUUCGGGUUGUAAAGUACUUUCAGCGGGGAGGCGUUACCCGCAGAAGAAGCACCGGCUAACUCCGUGCCAGCAGCCGCGGUAAUUC